AUCUCUGCAUUAGCUCUACACAGUAGAGUUAUCGUUCACAUUGAUAUGAGAUAUUCAGAUUAAAAUUGGGUGUGUGUGUGUUUUCUUUGCUUGUACAC